rnacentral:rRNA from 1 species
AUUGAACGCUGGCGGCAGGCUUAACACAUGCAAGUCGAGCGGGGUGAUGGUGCUUGCACUAUCACUUAGCGGCGGACGGGUGAGUAAUGCCUAGGAAUCUGCCUAUUAGUGGGGGACAACAUCUCGAAAGGGAUGCUAAUACCGCAUACGUCCUACGGGAGAAAGCAGGGGAUCACUUGUGACCUUGCGCUAAUAGAUGAGCCUAAGUCGGAUUAGCUAGUUGGUGGGGUAAAGGCCUACCAAGGCGACGAUCUGUAGCGGGUCUGAGAGGAUGAGCCGCCACACUGGGACUGAGACACGGCCCAGACUCCUACGGGAGGCAGCAGUGGGGAAUAUUGGACAAUGGGGGGAACCCUGAUCUAGCCAUGCCGCGUGUGUGAAGAAGGCCUUAUGGUUGUAAAGCACUUUAAGCGAGGAGGAGGCUCUUUUGGUUAAUACCCAAGAUGAGUGGACGUUACUCGCAGAAUAAGCACCGGCUAACUCUGUGCCAGCCGCCGCGGUAA